rnacentral:rRNA from 1 species
GUAAUGUCUGGGAAACGUGCCUGAUGGAGGGGGAUAACUACUGGAAACGGUAGCUAAUACCGCAUAACGUCGCAAGACCAAGAGGGGGACCUUCGGGCCUCUUGCCAUCAGAUGUGCCCAGAUGGGAUUAGCUAGUAGGUGGGGUAACGGCUCACCUAGGCGACGAUCCCUAGCUGGUCUGAGAGGAUGACCAGCCACACUGGAACUGAGACACGGUCCAGACUCCUACGGGAGGCAGCAUG